CAUGCUCUUCUGGCCUGUGGGGAUCAGCAGCAGCCUCAUGGGAGUGACUCUGAUGCUGUGCCUGCUGUUUGAGAUGAAAACAUGACAUAUCAGAUUAGCGGGAAAUCCAUCAUCCACAACAACAGCAAGGCAGGAAUGUAAACACAGAUUCCCAUCUCCCAUCAAUUACCUACAGCCACGUGGUGUGACUUCCAUUUACUGCGAGACCUGUGAUAUCACCACGCAGUGCGGGAUCCUGCUGGAGAAAUGGUGCCAUGGACGGUCUGGUGGAAGAUGUAUA